rnacentral:rRNA from 1 species
GACGUAGGGCGCGAGCGUUGUCCGGAUUUAUUGGGCGUAAAGAGCUCGUAGGCGGCUUGUCGCGUCGACUGUGAAAACCCGCGGCUCAACCGUGUGGCGGGCAGUUGAUACGGGCAGGCUAGAGUUCGGUAGGGGAGACUGGAAUUCCUGGUGUAGCGGUGAAAUGCGCAGAUAUCAGGAGGAACACCGGUGGCGAAGGCGGGUCUCUGGGCCAAUACUGACGCUGAGGAGCGAAAGCGUGGGGAGCGAACAGG